rnacentral:rRNA from 1 species
CCAGACUCCUACGGGAGGCAGCAGUGGGGAAUAUUGCACAAUGGGGGAAACCCUGAUGCAGCGACGCCGCGUGAGUGAAGAAGUAUUUCGGUAUGUAAAGCUCUAUCAGCAGGGAAGAUAAUGACGGUACCUGAGUAAGAAGCCCCGGCUAACUACGUGCCAGCAGCCGCGGCAAUACGUAGGGGGCAAGCGUUAUCCGGAUUUACUGGGUGUAAAGGGAGCGUAGACGGCAUGGCAAGUCUGAAGUGAAAGCCCGGGGCUCAACCGCGGGACUGCUUUGGAAACUGUUAAGCUGGAGUGCAGGAGAGGUAAGUGGAAUUCCUAGUGUAGCGGUGAAAUGCGUAGAUAUUAGGAGGAACACCGGCGGCGAAGGCGGCCUGCUGGACUGAAACUGACGUUGAGGCUCGAAAGCGUGGGGAGCAAACAGGAUUAGAUACCCCCGUAU